CUAGCAAGCAGAGUAGAGCAGAGCAGCAGUAGCAGACACAGAGAGAAAGUAGAAAGGCAGGGAUGGGUCAGUGCCCCUCUAUUCGGCAGCCGGAGGCAGAGUAUGUUCGCCUGCUGGCGGCGGCACCCGGCGGCAAAAACAGGAACGAGCAGUUCAGCAAACCUACAAAGGCCAUGAACAAAUACCAAAAAAGAUCAAGCAAGGACGAUCUAGUUAUGAGGGCGACGCUCGAAUCAAUCACGAGAAUUGGAUAAAACUGCAAAUCUGAUGAAAGAAGAGCGAUGCCAGAUGUCAGAGUUUCGACCCGGAUAUUAUAGGCAUCAAUUGUGAAUCUUGAUGCCGGUAAAAGUACGGUGAAAUCUAGGAUGGCUUUCGAAUUACCAAGCUUUGGUUUAUAGAGGACUUAAAAGUAACUGUGUGUACAACUCUACUAGAUUUUUUUUAGGGGUACAAGUCUACUAGCUAGCACUACGCAUGUUCCGGAAAUUUGCUUCGCUAUGUUUUAUAAAUAUUAGUAAUAAUAGUAUAAAAGGUCAUUGGCAAUUAA